CCUUCGAUAGCUCAGUUGGUAGAGCAGUGGACUGUAGAAGUUGUAAUGGUUAUCCAUAGGUCGCUGAUUCGAAUCCGGCUCGAAGGA
rfam:Ciona savignyi cont_20867, whole genome shotgun sequence.